UCUUUUUGGAGAUACCACAGAGAGAUUUUCUCCCUUCUCCCAUGACUGAUCUUCACUCAAAUCGAACUCGAUCAAAAUAUAUUUUAGCUUUCAAAACAAAAUUGGAGCAGAACCCGUCAUUCCUAUCCGGUGAAGGAUUUGUCUUCCGUAGAGAGUACGAGAGGAGCUUGCAGCAGUAAGCUAGGAAAAGCUUACGGCAGGCCUUGAAAAGCAUAGAAAGUUAGUAUUUUGUCUUGUUUAAUAUGUAUAUCACGGGAUGGAUCUGGGGUAGUCUUAUGUUGCUUAUAAACCAUGCUUUUAUUUUAUUUUGGUGUACAUAAAAAUGUGGGGGAUCUUGUUUGCUGGAUAGUUUUAUGUCGGUGUAACAAAUUUGCAUCUUGUCGUAUUUUGCUCCGUAUGUAAAUAGAACUGCACUAGCUGGUCUCUUUUCUGUCUAAUCUCAAUGUGUAUUACAACUCACCUUAUAUAUAUGGUCACCAUCUUUUGGAUC